GAUUAUUAUUUCUUUUAAGGCAAAAAAAAUUAGCCAAUAUGCAUAUAUUUUUUGAAGUUUUGUGGUUGUUUUAAAGUUUUACUUGAAAUUUGUUGAAAUUUUUGUAUCAAUAUUGUUCUGCCCAUCAUUUACGUUAUUGUUCCCAUCUCUCACAACUUAUUAGCAAUAGAAAUAUUAAUGCUAUUGUUCAAAAGGUAUAUGGACCCAUUAAUGCGAAUUUGGUUGCCUGGACUUCCCUUCUAUCAGUGUAAGUGAAAAAUGGCCACGGCUGUGUUCUUAGGAUAUGGUUUUUGGCGUUUCUGAACAUGUACUUCAAUUGUCUUCUAAGUGUUUGAUGAAAUGUACCAACUACAAUAGCCUUAUGCUUUCGUUAAUUUUUUUUUAUAAUUAUUUUCCAAAAUCUUCAGCAGAAUCGGCCCCCCACUUUAAACCAAUUUUACCAAAAUCUUAUGAAUUUGAGGUACGCAAAAACCAUUCCUUUUUCCCUCAUAGUUAUCAUUCCAAGUUGGCUAACAUUGAGAUUUAGUCUAUCCAUAUUGGUUCUUGGUUUAUUUCAUAUAUUGUUCACGUCGCAAUUUAGGUCUUUUUGUUAGGUUUUUGGAUUAGCAGUGCUUAGACGCGUAGAGAAGAGACAUAUCUUUGUAUCGUAACCUUAUCUCUAAUCUAAAUAGAUAUACACACACGUAUUGAGAAUUACACUGAUGCUUGCUCUAUUGCACAAUUACAAAAGUUUACCCCUAACUGAAAUCUAUUCUAAUUCCACGUGAUUCUAAUAUAUAAAGCUUACCUCUAAUGGAAUUUACUCUUUAAGUGAUUCCCUUUUCCAUGUCUGUGCGUGGGAAAGAAAAAAAAAAGAAAGAGAAAUUUCUUAGGACCUUAUGGCCUUACCAAAGUAGAAAUGUAUAGAAGGCCCAUGGCAAUUAUCAGCAAGGAGCGCGCGCGCACACACACACAAACCUAGUGAUUGUUUGCAUGAUUCAAUAUCGGAAUUGGUUGUCAAAUGAAUAUGUUGCUCAUUAACUCCUCUUUGCCCAUGUAAACUCUAUUUCAAGUUGUCAAUGUGGUUUAUAGGAAAAGAUUUUGCCUCUUUUUUUGAUUAUUUUCUGAAGUCCAUCUUUUUACUAAUGGCUCCUUCAUUAAGUCUCCCAUUGCACAUGAUUCUCCCGUGAUCAAUUCUAUGGAUUUUGUUUUGGGGGCUCUUUGUUAAAAGUUGAUUUUUACCUUAAAAGUUGUAAAAUAACAUCGCAACUGAUUUAUUUUCAUAUGUAUGUUUUGCUAUUUUGUUUCAUGUUUGAACCGAAAGCUGUUUUAGUGGUGAGAUCUGAUUUCCACUACUACUAUAUUAUUAGAGCAAUAUGAUCAACUUCUUUUGUUUGUGAUUUCUGAGUUAUAUGUUCAGAUAAAAUUCAAUGGCUGCAUCGACGCCGUAGAGGUAAAGGAAAAUCUAUGUGCAUAAUUUAUGGGGCUUAGAGGUUAAUGCUAUUUUGAAUACAAUAGACCAAUGCAUUUUAGUUAUCGAAUAGAGCUACUCUUUACUUUUCUCUUUUCAAAAGAUUUGCAGGCUCAAACUUUCAAAUGAGGCGAGGACCAAAAUUCUACCUGAGGGGCUGCAAACCCAGGAGAACUCAGCUUUGACAUCCACAUCAAUGAGUCUCAAUGAAGGAGACUAACUUGGUCACGGUAAAUAUGCAAGUGCAUAUGGAAGAAAGAAAUGUAACAAAUACCUUUCUUUUUUUGGUGAAACUAUGAAUAGGCCUGAAUACAUAAUCAUUAUUCUUGAACCUUAUACCUCGGAAACUAGGGCUUUGUGGCAUACAUAUUUGUAGUUUUUUUAGAGAGUUUUUGGUACGGCAUGGCUUGCCGAAACCCGCAAUAGUUUGCAUAUUGCUAUUUAAUCUUUUUUUUUUUGCUUUCUUUUGCAUUCUUAUUUUAGUUGACUUCCUUUUUCCACAGUUUGGUUUAAUUUGGAAACUCGGGGUCGAUUGUGGUACCAAUGCUGCCAUGCAUACAAAUUUGAACAUUGUUGAGGUUGCUAUGUGAACAGUAAUUAUAGUUGGAUUUA